rnacentral:lncRNA from 1 species
AACGGACUGCGACAGAACCCUCGAAAACGAAGGUGAAGAGACUGUGCAGUCAGUCCUCUUUGUAUUCCAGUGUGACAGACACAUCAAACCAUACCAUGGCGUGGCUAAGACCCAAGCUGGUAUCAAAAAUAAAGGAAACGACGCUGCAGGACCCGCAGCCCCAGACGAUGUGGCUUCCUCCGAUGACACAGGCCCCAGACAUUACCUGGGGGAAGCUGAAGAAGACAACUCAGGAGGCCGAGUGAAUCCUUCUCUGGACACAGACACCAUCACUCCAGAUAAUCUGUUCCUUGCUAUGCUCUCUAUUGUACCUUGCAACUCUCAUAGGGUAUUCACCUUUCUUAUUCUCUCACUUUGCCUGCAACUCAUACCUGCUACAUUCUAUUGGGCCCAUCUUCUAAGAUCUGCCUUUCUUCCAACCUGUUACCUUGGCAGACACCCCCUUCCCAUCCUCUAAUAAUGUAACUGCUUAGCUGGGAGGGGUUGACAUGCCCCCAGUGGGGUUCCUUAAUAAUGGCACACAUUGAACUGAGGUGCCAAGUAACACUACAUAUCUCUCCUUGAUUGGAAAAGAAUAAUAGUGACUAUACUAAUGUUU